rnacentral:rRNA from 1 species
CCUACGGGAGGCUGCAGUGAGGAAUAUUGGUCAAUGGACGAGAGUCUGAACCAGCCAAGUAGCGUGAAGGAUGACUGCCCUAUGGGUUGUAAACUUCUUUUAUAUGGGAAUAAAAUGUUCCACGUGUGGGAUUUUGUAUGUACCAUAUGAAUAAGGAUCGGCUAACUCCGUGCCAGCAGCCGCGGUAAUACGGAGGAUCCGAGCGUUAUCCGGAUUUAUUGGGGUUAAAGGGAGCGUAGGUGGAUUGUUAAGUCAGUUGUUAAAGUUUGUGGCUCAACCGUAAAAUUGCAGUUGAGACUGGUAGUCUAGAGUAUAGUAGAGGUAGGCGGAAUUCGUGGUGUAGCGGUGAAAUGCUUAGAUAUCACGAAGAACUCCGAUUGCGAAGGCAGUUCACUGGACUGCAACUGACACUGAGGCUCGAAAGUGUGGGUAUCAAACAGGAUUAGAUACCCCUGUAGUC